rnacentral:misc_RNA from 1 species
GUUGAAAGAGUUGAAGGUGCAACUGCAGGAAUUGCUAGAUAAGUUUUUCAUCUACCCUAGUGUAUGGCAUCACCUUGGGGAGCACUAAUAUUAUUUGUGAGCAACUGUAUUCUCCAAGAUUGAUUUGAGAUCGGGAUACUACCAGUUGAGGGUGCAGGAGCAUAAUAUUCCUAAAACUGCCUUCAGGACUCGGUAUGGCCACUAUAAAUUCUUGAUGAUGCCAUUCAGGUUGACUAAUACUCCAGCUGCUUUUAUGGGCCUGAUGAACACUAUCUUCAGGCCAUAUUUGGACCAAUUUGGUGUUCAUUGAUGAUAUUUUAGAGUACUCAAAGAAUACAAAGGAACAUGACAAGUACUUCGAGGGAGAAACAGUUGUAUGUCAAACUGUCAAAAUGUGAGUUUUAACUGAAGGAGAUUAUAUCUGCAGAGGGUAGUAUCCAAGUGGAUCUUAGAAAGGUAGAAGCUAUCCUUAAUCGGAAGCCGCCCAAAAAUGUCACUGAUGUUUGUAGUUUUAUUGAUAUAUUAUUAUGUUAUUAAUUUUUUUGUUUUGUUUUUAGCAUUGAAAAUAUAGUAGUUUUAUUUAUAUUAUUAUGUUAUUAAUUUU